rnacentral:lncRNA from 1 species
UUUUUCGUCAUAACUUAUGUAUGUUUUUACGUUAAUAUAAUUUGAAUUUGUGUUAUUGUUCAUGUCCCAGGAUGUUGCAUCACCAUCUAAUGAAGGCAGAAUUGAAUUGUUGGAGGAGGUUGAAUUGAAAGAUGAUGUUUGGGAGAAAGUUGUGGAAGUCACGGCUGCAAUUGAAGCUGAAACUGAAAUUGAAGAGGGAAAUG